rnacentral:misc_RNA from 1 species
GUGACAUUUAAUGCUGCAUGUCAUAAUAAUACAUUUUCUUAGGAGGCGAAUCUAAUAGAAAUAUUGGAGGAAUGACUUUGUUGGAUAAAAUGGUCGAAAUGUGAAGAACACUAGUGUAUGAGCGAUGGAACAAAAAAUUUAUCAAUUAUCUCACAGUAAAUGGCUUCCACAAUUGGCCUUAACAUUUACACAAUAUCUAUGAACCUCUUAGAGGAAGUCAAACUUGAAUGGCUGGCAAUGCCCAUGGAUUUUUCUGGAAGUUAUAGAUUGAAACACAUUUUGUGGAAUCGUUUUCCUUCUGGGUUCUUUCUUAUUAGAAAUUCUUAUGGUUUCCUUAAAUGAAAAUAAUAUGCUCUUUGCUUAAAAGCAAACCAAAAGGAAAAGAUGGAUGUUAGGAUUGUGAUUUUGAGGGAGGAUGUAUUAGCCUGUAGAUAUGGUUUUUGUAGCAUAUGACUGAAGGGCAACCUUUAAAGCCAUCUUCUAUCUUGGUUCCUAUUCAUUAUAGAAAAUUUACUAGGGCUUCUUUAUUGACUAUGUCUACUCUUUCACUUACUUGUCUGGUUUCAUGCCUAUCUAACACAAAACCACUUCUGGAUUCCC